AGCUUAUUUAACAAACACUACUCAGCAACUUAAAUCUAUAAUCCAACAGUUACACCAAACAGAUUAACAGCUUCUAAUUAAAGUCAUAAUUUAUAAUCUGUUAAGGUAUAAUCUAUAAUCUGUUUUAGCAGCUAUACCAAACGGGGCCGGAUAUUUGCUGCUUCUGCAAGAACAGAAUAAGGAAAAAAAGAUAGUAAUGACAUAUUCAUUCUAGCUACACUAGAGGCAUAUCUAAUAAUAAAAUCACCUUGGUGUGUUAAGCCGUCUUUGCAACCAUGUGUGGACUCCACAAACCAACUUUAAUUUGUUUUAGCUUAAACAAUGCACAAAACUACCUGUCAACGGAAAAAAGUUAAAAUAAAUCUUGGCUAGUUUAUUUUAUAUUGUCACCCUUUCAUUUUUUACUUAGUUUUUUUAUUAGCAAAGUAAAAAUUUCAUUAAAAACAUGGACUCAGCACUAGGCUCUUGUAUGUCUAUUUAUGAUUGCAAAUAUCAGUCUUCUUCAUUCUGUUCUAGGAGAUUGGAAUGUUUUCGAUGCAAAUGCUCACUUGAUGCUUCUUUAAAUCUUGAUGUAGCUACUGCCUGAAUACAUAUAUCUAUGCACUUAUAUAUAAGAGGGAGUUAGUAGAUGCUCCGGUAAACAUGGCUCUCUUUUGGCUAUUCGUUUUUGUUUUCCUUUAUUCUGUUUAGCUUUUGUUUUAUUGAAGAGUUUUGGAUUAAUUGGUAAAUGCACAGAUUACUCACUCUCUGUGUAGGAGAACCAGCACGUCUUCCUCUUGCUAGCCACGUCUACGUCUUCUCUCCCACUAUGCCGUAUCUCUCUCUAUCUCUCUCCCUGCAUUUCUCUUUCUCUCAGUCCUUACAUCUCUCUUUCUAUCUCUUGACAAUUACAGUGAGAUCACAUUAUGGACGAUGAUCAAUAGCUCACAAUGAUGAUCUGAAAAGUGUACUGGAGAUUGGUUAAAUGUUGACGAUUUUGGAUGACGAUGGGUUUAUGAUUUGUGCGAUGAUCUCGAAGAUGUGUUGGACCAGAUCUAUGGGUUUAACUAUGUGUUCAACCAAUUUCAAAGGAGGUAUCAAAGUGCCUCUGUUUUCAAGCCAUGGUUCCUACAUUGAAGGCCAUCAUCUUCAACCAAAGCUCUUGUUUGGUUUGGGGGUCAAUCUUCGAAGCUGAAACACACUAGAAUAGCUAACAAUCUUGUUUUUUAAAAGUGCCAGUGUCUUAACUUGAGUGUCGUGAGAUUGCCAUCAAGUUUGUUAAAGAAAUUUAUUUUGUGCAGUUCCUCCAAUAUCAACCAAUUGGUGACGUUACCAUCACUCUUGAGCAGACGAUUGAGAUAAAGCAUAUGUUUGACUGGGAUAAAGCGUACACGUUCAACGUAUUCAACAUUCUAAGGACAUCAUACAUCAAUCACAUUGUAACUACUUAAGA